GGGGAUCUGGCUCAGCGGUAGAGCGCUUGCCUAGGAAGCACAAGGCCCUGGGUUCGGUCCCCAGCUCCG
rnacentral:tRNA from 1 species